GCCCCGGCCCCUCCCUCCGGACUAGUUUCCUCGGCAAGUUCGGAGCGGGUGGCCGGUUCCGCGAGCCCUCCUGCGGUUCCGCUUCCUCUUCUUUCGGGUCCCAGAGGCCGCGCGGGCCCGGGGACCGGUGGCGCUGCCGGGCGCCGAGCCGCAGGGUGGGUACGCCCUGCCACCCUCGCGUUCCGUCUGCCGCCCCCUCUCGGAUCCGAAGGGGCGAAAGGGAAUCUCCGCGCGUUACUCCCCACCCCCAGCCCACCUCGGGACCUGGAGGGAGGGGCGGCCCCACCCACCCGAUCCACCCGGAUAUUGACCCGCCCGGCCUAACACGGGCACACGCGCGGAGUCCUUCUCUCUGCCUUCCCCGCCGAGCCAGGGCCGGACGCACGCACACGAUAACCUGGAAAUGAGUGCUAUGGGCAGAGCAAGUAACAGGGCAGGAACGCCCCCCAGGUUGUCCUGCAUGCGUGGUAGGGGACAGGUGAUCAUCGUCACAGCUUCAGAUUCUUCCAGACAGCUUUCAAAGAUGGUGUACUCUACAAAUUUUCAUGGAGAAGCUUCUGAGGCUGAUAAGAAGUGGUUGUGCCCGGAAUAAAUUACGAUUCCAGGCUAGUAGCAUGUCCGAGAUAAAGGAUCCCCUUCAAUUUGGGCCCUGGAGAGAGAAGACACAUGGAACUCAACAGAGCCAGAGCCAGUUAGCGUUGGCCAUGUCACAUGUACAAAAUGCUUGUUAUAAACCACUGAGGUUUUAGGAAGCAUUUUUGCCACAGCAUAACUUUGCCUAAGCCACCUGAUACCCUUUUCAGAAUGUGAUUGUCCAUGAAGUCCUUCACAGCUGUUGAAGACUGAGAAGGGAGGCCCAUCCUGACCUGUAAAUGUCAGUCAUCACGUGCCAGAAUAACGCCCCUGUUUGUGGGAGCCUCUGCCCCCCGAACUUCCUGCUGAAAGAGGAAGUGCUACCAUCAGUCCAUCCUGCCCGGCUGACCUGUGACUGGAUGAACUAGAAAAAGAAAAUGGCCAAGAAGGGAAGUCAGUAGCAAGGACUGGAGUGGACAAUCUAAAAGAAGAGGCAGGACCACGAAAGACAUGAGGUGGAGAAAAACUGGACCCAAGGAAUGUUCAGCAGCAUCCCCAGAUCCUGAUGGAGCUAGGAUUUGAACUCGGGCAGUUUGCCUGCUGAGCUACGGUCCUCACUGCAUUACACCACUUGCUUCAGGAUAGAUCCAGUUUCAUGUCUGCUACUUCACAGAACCACUGGAAGUUCAGCAUCGCGCCUGUUUCUUAUUUGUGUUCAUUUAGAGAAUGAGACUCCCAGCGCUGCUCUGAGGGAAGCAGGGAAGGAGCCCGGCCGCUGGCCCUCAGCCCCAGAACCUGCACACAGGAAGACUCAACAAAGGUUUCUUGUUUGGUGAACGAAGCCCAAUUUUACGAAGAAGAAACAAACUUCAAACUCCAAGUCCAGUGUUCUUGUCAGUAUCACCUGUUGCCCAAACUGGUGCUGCGAUGUGUACCUGCAACUUUACCCCCCCCCCCCACGGGGGGCGUGGACAGCCCCUCAUCCUGUGAACAAGCAGCUCCACUCGGAACAUCCCCAACGGUGACAACCAGGGAAACCAAACAGGGCCUUUGUCGUACAGCUAUUAUAUUUUACUCAUCUUCAUGCGUCUUAACAUAGAACAUGUAUAAUAUCAACAUGUUUGUAUAUGAAAUUGUAUGUAUCACACAUGAUUAAUAUUUAUAUGUAUUAUA